CAUUUAUAUCAUCUUUCCCAAAUUAAAGACAUGGAAACCCUUGUAAUGAGUGUUGAGCUCAAGCAAGCUGUUUUGGCUUAAUUAGUAAUUCUGAAGCUCGUUGGGUUGGAAGCUUAGCGGAGAUAUCAUCACAUUAUCCAUUGGCCAAUUUUAGUACAUAUAGAAAAAUAAUUUUGGUUAUAAUGGCAUGUAUAGGGUACAUUGGCCAAUGUUGGCUUAAUAGCAUUUUGUUGUAAAUAGCCAUUGGAAUGGCUUGAGUUGAACAUAUUUUGAUAUAUAUAUAUAUGUGUGGCUUUAUCA